GAAUCCUCCUGGCAUGCCAUGAAAAAAAAUUGAAAUGGAACGUUUUGGUUGAAGAGAAAAGUGGUGUUUUGGGUUGUUGGGCGGGAGAGGAAAAACAAAGCAUGUUGCAUGGGAUUUAAAAAACAAAUGGAACGUUGGGUGGCAGAGGAAUGUGAAAUGGUGCAUUACGGAAUGUGCAAAACGGUGUGGAACAAAUAAUUGAAAUGGGAUUACUAUAUUACAACUAUUUCAAAUGGGCAGAUAGUGGGGAAAAAAGAGAGAAAGAACUUGUAAAGAUAGAAGCUGAAUUAUUAAGGAAGGAGGAAGAGAUUAAAAAAAGAGAGGAAGGGAUUGUGAAGAGGGGAUAUUCAAAGGUAACAAACAAACAUCCGGCAUGAACGCACAUUGCUUCAUGUGUAUUGGGUUAUUACUAUAUUAAAACCGUUGUACUUGAUAAAGUUUAAGUGCAGCCCCACUUAAUGGGAACUUUGUACAUUAUAUGUCAGGGACUAUUUGGAAUGCUGUUGUGUAUUCUGGAACCUUUCGUUAAAUUUCAUGUUAGUGUUGAGAAUCCUCAUCUAUGCUAAAGCAUUCUUGAACCUUUCGUUAAACUUCUAGACCCAUUGAUGAGCUUGAACCAUAUUGUGUA